rnacentral:rRNA from 1 species
GUCCACACCGUAAACGUUGGGCGCUAGGUGUGGGGCCUAUUCCAUGGGUUCCGUGCCGCAGCUAACGCAUUAAGCGCCCCGCCUGGGGAGUACGGCCGCAAGGCUAAAACUCAAAGGAAUUGACGGGGGCCCGCACAAGCGGCGGAGCAUGUGGAUUAAUUCGAUGCAACGCGAAGAACCUUACCUGGGUUUGACAUACGCCGGAAAGCCACAGAGAUGUGGCCCCUUUUAGUCGGUGUACAGGUGGUGCAUGGCUGUCGU